AUAAAAAAUAUUCAUUGUUACAAACUUAAAAAAUCAAAACGGCUCAGAAACAUACCUAAGGGACUAUUUUAAACCUAUCCCAAACGUAAGGACUAUUUUUGUCAUUUUGUCCAAACAAAAGCAAGGAAAGCAAUGAACAGCUGCAGAAUUUCCUGUUCUCAAGAGAUAGUUUCACCACUCCAACUAAAAAUGUCUUCUCAGAAAUCAUUGUCGAUCUUCUCAGAAAUUCUCCUUUUCCCGACUUCUCCAAUUUUUAUCGCCGAAUCGUCGAUUGGUACGCCCUUUGCUUUUAAAUCUCUCCAUUCUCGUAGCCUUUGUUCUACCAGCAUCAUUACAUGUUUGAUCGCAAAAUUGGAAAGUGAAUCUGCUUUAGUUGCAAAUAAGUUUCUGUAUUCAUAUUUGUCCAGUUAUUUGAAUGUUUAAAGGCUUUAUUCUGACAAAGUAAGGUAAUCGUUUAGAUAAACUGGCACUAAGCAGGUGCAAUUAAAUACGCAUUUCAAAAAGUAAAAGGUUGCACAUGUUAUGAACUUAGAAAAUCUAUCAAGUUGUCUAUUUCUGUUUAUGUCAAUUUUUAAAGGUUAAUAAAACAGAAAAAGGAAAGUUUUUCCUUUUCUUUUAAGGUUUUAAUAUGUUUGCUUGUGCUAAUUUUGAUUUUAGUACCUUUUUUGUUGGGUGCAUCUUUAAAAACAAAAGCAACUGAUGGGUUCGGCUAUAUGAAUACUCACUUCUUCAUUUAAGCUCAACUCACACCAUCGUAACACGUGCCUAGGUGGGCAUGUCCCAUUUGUAUCAUUAGUAUCUAGGAUUCAUCAUGAAUUGACAAGUUUUAAGAUUCUUUAAUUUUGGUAUACUGAUUGUAUGGGGGUUUCUUUCCCAUCAUAUCCAUAAAACUUAACUUCAUCAGAGGAGGAAAAUACCCUAGAAUAGAGUUCCUUGAGAGGGAACAUCAACCAAAACUCCUAAAUAAUAACAAAAGUCUUACACAUGUCAUGUGCUCUUCUCUAUCAGCUCGCAAGAAAAAUUUGAGAUAGUGAUAACAGUCAAGUAACUGAUACUGAUUACAACCACAGCAUUUGGCCUAUGUUGCCAGUGACUACUUGUUUCUUUCUUAUACCAAAGGCAGAAACUUUUAUCAUUGCAUGUGUAUGUGAUUUGUAUAUUAUAUAAGAAAGUAAUAUGAGGUAUCGAGGUUAGUCUGGUAGGUAUGUACAUGCAAUUUUAGAAGUUUUCAUGCUUCCUUUGAUAAGUACUCUAAAAUCUUACGAGUUCCAUCGUUAUAGCAAGUAAUACGAGUCGUAAUAGACAAAUAAGGAAGUAUUAACAUUCAAAUGAAGUAUAUUGAUUACAACCAAUGCAACUUCUCUAUCAUAAGAGAGCAGCAAGCACACUUUCUCCUUAUGCACCAUAACAAACUUAAUGUGCCCUUAUCCUCCAAACAAGAGUAAUAUCCUAGAGUUAAGUUAGGGCUACUAGCUGAUAUCGGAUCCAUACUGGAAUUUGGUAAGCAUUAAGCCUUCUCUCUGAGUCUUAUGAGGAUAAGGCAAGAGAAUUGAUAGUGCAAGAAGAGAGUGAACCAAGUGAUUAGGGUGAUCUUUGUAAGUUAGAAUGCAAUGUCAACUACAAUAAGUUUUUGCACAUUUUGUUGUAAGCAGGUGAGACCAUUUAGGGGUAUUUUUCUUCUAAUACAGCCUUUUUUAUUUAUAUGGAAAAAACACCUCAGUAGUAUGGUAAACCUACAAUCCAAGCUAUGUUGCAUCGAUCCUUCCUUGACGUGCCCCUGUCUAAAGGGUAUGAGUAUGACACAGGUGUGGGUUUCUUGGUGAUAAAUACAAUAACCUAAUUAGAAAAAUACUUCACGGACCCAUAUGGGAUACUAACACCCUCCAAUCGACCAGUGUUGUCAAAGGCGCGAUUAAAGCACGAUUAAGCCCUAAAGCGAGGCUCAAAACACGUUGAGCGCUCGCCUCGCUUUGUGGGCGCUUUAGUGUCGCAUCAAAGCUCUAACACAUACUUUUCCUUGCCAAUGAGUGUAAUGAUUAGUCUUGGACUACUAUGCAUAUUGUUACUUUUUCUCCCGUUGUGCCUUUUUUCAUUAAAGCCCACGCUUUAUUUGCGCUUUGCGCUUAAAGCCCUAACGGACCUUAUAGGUUUUUGCGCUUUUCGCCUUUGAUAACACUGCAUUCGACUAGACACAGAGUUUAGAAAGAUAGUAAGACUUUGGUGACUUAAGCUAAAUGUAUGUAGAUGCCUUGUCAUUUCUAUUAAGAGUAUAUCAUUAAACGUAAAAUACGAAAGUUAGAAGUAUAUAGCUUCCGAAUAGAGAUGUGCCUAUCUUUUUGAAACGGGCUAAAAAGGAAAGAGAAUUUAAAAAAAAUUAGAACAAUGGGAGUAAUAUCUGCUCGUAAACGAGUCCAUGUAAAUUGAUUCAAGUGAAAGUAGCUAGCUCUUCAGCUACCACACACCAGAGACAAGUAGACAAUGGUUGAUAGUUUGACAAACCCUUUCAUAUUUUACGUGUCAGUGCCCUUGGGAAAGUGGGCUGAACAAUAUCAUGUCAAUAAGCAAGGAAUACCAUGGCCAUGACAAUAUUAUGUAUCAAAUAUUCCAAGAAGCGAAGUAGUACUACAAAUAACAUGUCUUUAUUUGAUAAAGUAGUCUAACCAGGAGUAGUAACAAGUUGCAAUAUCUUAUGAGCAGAUAUCACAUUUAUAAGAUCUUGAACAGCAAGUGACACAUGAAAAUUUUUAGACAGAGAAUUAAAUAUUAAUGUUGGAUUUCAAACACAAUACUUCUGUAAAUAAAUGCAAGCAUGUCUGUAGUUUAAAGUUGGUUAUAGGGGUAUAAAUUAUAUGAAAGUAUUUUUAUAUUGAGAAUGUCCAUUUGCCUUGAAAACAAAUGAAAGAAGUCUAUUUUUGGUAUUUAGAACUUAAAUUUAUGAUCUUUUGGAAGAACUUCUUAAUAAGUACUAUCUAGUUCUUGAUUGUACAAACACAACAUCUUAAGUGGUAAUUUUUAUCUUAAAUAAUAAUCUUAUCAUUUAAACCCUAAAUAUACUGUAUGUCCUUAUAACGCAGGCACUGCUAUUUCUACUAACCUUGCUCAUCAUUAGCUGAAUCAUUAUGCUGUUUGUUCCACGUUGGUCAUAUGAAUUACACUGGGAGACUAUGCAUGGUUCAUCUAAUUUAUCAUAGGUAGUGUUGUACUGGAUUCAUUUGCUUGAACGAAAAUAAUAUAUAGGCUUCAAAAAAUCAUGAGCACUUGUAUGCAAAGCAUAUAAUCAUCUAUAAAGCAUAUCUAGGUUAUGGUUAAAGCCAAAACCAAGCAUGUUUACUUGUUUACUUAAUUUAAAAAAAAAAACAAUCUACAAGCCCAAUAAAAACAUGGUAAUCUUCGAUAAGUGGUGGGGGAUACACAUAAAUUUUAUGGUUUCUGGUUCUGAUUCAUUCUCUCUGUAUGUGUGUUUGUUUCUUCCUGGUUUCUUUUUCCUUUUCCUCUUUAGUAUACUCCCUUCUGUUCUUUCCUCUUGCUUUGGCACAACAGCUUCCCAUUGUAGACCUUGCAAACUAAGUGAUUUGUCACCUGUAGGUAUUGAGGCAGCUGGUGCUAACUGCUAACAGUAUUCUGUUUGGUUCUGCUUUUUUCGGUGCAUGCUGCCACUUUCCACCAAGCGAGCUUACCUUUUUCCUCUUUUUUCUUAGUCUUUCUAAUUUAUAUGAGCAGAGAUACUUCACCAGUAAACAUCUAUCUCUACAUUUUAUUAGAAGUUGUUUCUCUAUUUUUUGGGGUAAGUAGCAGCAAGAACAGUGGUCGCAGUAUGGGGGAUUGAUGCUGGUUUAGCAGAAGAGGAGGCAGAAGGUUGUGGAAGCCUAAUGCCAUUAAUUUUUUUCAAUUUUGUUUACUGCAUUACUAAAUGUCAAAAUCGUAAAGGUUACAUGGAUAUCAUAAUAGCAUGUAGAUUCAACGUCGUCACAAGGUUAUAUUUCAUGGACUAAAACUACUCUUCUGCUACUAGGCUUAGGUGAGCUAAUCAGUCUUGUAUUUCCUUCCCUACUCUUAUGGAUACCUGCGAUCCAUAGUAAUAGUAGUGUAAUGGGGGAUUGAUGCUGAUUUAGCAGAAGAGGAGGCAGAAGGUGGUGGAAGCCACUAGAGUCAUUACUUUUGUUCAAUGUUGUUAAUUACAUUAGUAAAUAUCAAAAUUGGCCCAUGUCUCAAAAUAUUAAAGGUUAUGUGUUGAUCAUAAGAACAUGGAGAUUCAAAGUCGCAACGAGGUUAUAUUUCAAGGACUAAAACUGCAAUUUACCCCAUCAAAGAAGUCUUCACUUAAGUCAUUCAAGUUUGCUCCUAUUUCUUAUUUGUAGAUUGUAGAUUAAGAUAUUAUUAUAAAAGGAAAGUAAAUCAUUUGAUUCCUUCCUGAAAAUAGAUCUGUAGUAGCUCGCAGAGGAGGGAUUCUUCCGCUACAACCCUUAGGCGAGCUAAUCAGUCUUGUACUUCAUUGCUAACUCUUAUGGAUAUCUGGGAUUCGUAAAAUUUUUCAAAUAAGAUAACCUUAUUCCAAACAGUCAUCAAUUAUAUUACAAAUAAGAUCCUUGAUAAAUGGACCUUGGGCCUACCUCAACCCCAAAAGCUAGCUCAUGAGGUGAGGAUUGCCUAAGACCAUAUAAGGAGACCAAAAAGCCCAAAUCCUACAGAUGUUGGACUCAACAACCCCUCUCACGCCUAGGCCUGCAAACUGGAGCGUGUAUAACGUAAAUGGAGGCCCAAUAUCGGUAACAAUAUAUUGGGAUAGGCCUGGCUCUGAUACCACAAUAAAUGGACCUUGAGCCUAACUUAACCCUGAAGCUAGCUUAUGAGGUGAGGAUUGUCCAAGCCCAUAUAAGGAGACUAAGAAACCCAAAUCCCACCGAUGUGGGACUCAACAAUCCUUAUUCCAAACAAUCAACCUCACUAUCCACCGAUUAGUUUUUAGUGGAAUGAUAGAUCUUUAAUUUAUGAUGACAAUUUAGCGAUAGUCAUACCCAAACUAAAGGAAGACUUGUCUACUUGGAAACAAUAGUAGUAGAGCUCAUUUAAUUGGGAAGGGGGUGAUGCUUCAGAACUUUUUGUGUGGCAAAGCAAAACUAUUUCUUUUCUCAAAGUUCGAUAACUCUAAUUCACGAAGAAGGCAAAUUGAACUUCAGGUUUCUUAUAGUGCGUAAGCAUAUACUCCAUUUCCCAAUGACUAUAAUUGAUUUUAAGAAUGUCUUAUCUUGCAGUUGCUGAAGCUACAAAGUAAGUGCCCUUGGUCUAGUCUUUCUUUCCCAAAUAAAAAUCCCUUAUGCUGCUGCAGUUAUUUACUGAGUCUGUAAGUAAUCAUUGCAACUUUCUGUUGUUCGCUAUUUCGAUUGUUGUGGCUGAUAUAGGUAUAUUAGUCUGUAAUCUUUGACUUUUUAAAUUAUGAAUCAUUGUAUUUAUUAAAUUUAGAGAAAUAGUGUCCUUAUUGGCAUUAACUUAGUGAAUUUUGCUAAAGCAAGUCAAUUUUGACUUCAUAUUAUCUAUAUGCCAAAGCUAAAACGAGCUGGCUGCUGAUGGACUUGCAUGAAAUUUUUCUGUUGCUGGUUUUAUCAUCGGGUCAUAUUAUAAAGUUGAUAUUUUACUUAUCAAAAAGAAGUUGAUAUUUUUGUUUUAGUUUAUGGAGACACAUGUACCACUUGUGUACUUCAGUACAAAGAGAAACACGAAAGAAGCUAAUAAUCCAGCAGAUUUUUGGAAUUAAGAAUGAAGCUGUUGAAAGCGCAGGAAUUAGAUAGUGGGUCUGUCUCAUCUUUGAUUGGGAAGUUUAUGACUGAUCAACAAAUAGAUUUCCCAGUAACGUUUAACAAAGAUUUUUGAUUCUUUUAAGUGCACCAUUUUUGUUAGUGGUGCGAUAUAUGUAUUCGUAUUCAUCUGUCAACUGUUACAAUUUCAAAAUAGUUUUGUGUUACUGUGAUAUCUCAAAACUAAAAGGUUCAUGGGUUUUACGGGUUUCCCCACCCUAAGUAAAACGCAUUGACUAACACAUUCGAUUCUGAACGUCCAUCUUGAUUUGGUCAAUGAGCCAAACAUAGAACCAGACAAAUGGAGCAGUCAAAUUGAUUAAAGUUGUAAUAACAAGCAUAACACCUGAGAUGGACCAAACAAUACAUAGCUAUGACAAAUGAGAUUGGAAUGAACUGACAGAAAAAAGAAAAAAAAAGGUAGCUCGGUGCACGAAGCAUCCAUAUUCAUGCAGAGUCCGGGGAAGGGACGCAUCCCAAGGGGAAUUCCACGGCUCGAACCCGUUGCCUAUAGGUCACAUAGAGACAACUUUAUCGUUGCUCUAGGGCUCCCCUUCAAUGGACUGACAGAAAGCAGACAUUUAAUCUGCCCCAGAAAGUUGGCCUGAACUCUAUAACACUAGUUUACUAUUUAAUAUACGGGCAAACUCUUAUAUAUUUCUGGCUCCAAGAGCAUUUGUGAGAUGCUGAUGCAUAUCAUAAUGACACAAGAGUUCCUGCCUUCGAGGUUUCUUUUUCUCAGCAUCAUUUUGUUCGUCUUUGUCAUCAUCUGUCUCAUCAGAUGAUAAAUAAAGUGGAGACAGUAAUUCCCCUUUAUCUAGCAAAACAAGGCUUUCCUUGUAAAUGCCAAAACAAAAAGAGUACUUGGUGCCAAGAAUAUCAAGGUGCCAUCUUUCUUGCGUCUCUGUUGGGAAUCGAUCUCUUGAUUCUAGUUCUAAAUCUGUUUUGUCUCAUGAAGAAGAAGAGAAGAAGAGGAAAGCAGAUGAAGAAGAAAAGAAAUGUUCAGAAUAUUUGGCGGAGAAAACAAAUGAUCUUCAAUCUGAUCUCAAAAGAAAGUCAAAGAAUGAGACACGUGUCACCAUCUCAAGCAACAA
rnacentral:lncRNA from 1 species